AAGAAGGCGAGGACCGGGAGAAAUCUCAAGAAUCGCUGGAAUUGACUGGAAACCACUAGUUGGUUAGUGGCGAACGGGUGAGUAACACGUGGGUGACCUGCCCCGAAGUGGGGAACAACUGCUCGAAAGGGCAGCUAAUUCCGCAUAUGAUCCGACAUUCGUUUGUCGGAUUAAAGGACUUCGGUCCGCUUUGGGAGGGGCUCGCGGCCGAUUAGCUAGUUGGUAGGGUAAUGGCCUACCAAGGCUAUGAUCGGUAGCUGGUCUGAGAGGACGAUCAGCCACACUGGCACUGAGAUACGGGCCAGACUCCUACGGGAGGC
rnacentral:rRNA from 1 species